ACUUAGAAACGGCUGAAGGGUACACUCACUACUGAAGUUUGGAAAUUAGCAAGAAAACACAAAAAUUUGGCAAAUACUAGCCUGUUGUAGCUGGUUCUUCAUGUUUCUUGGGUUUUAAAGGCUAGAAAAUUGUUGUUUUCUUCUGGGUCCAAAAUAUGAAAGCUAAUUGAUGAACUGUUGUUUGUUGCUAUUUAGAAGCUGCUGAUAUUUCAAUUUCUUUGCUGAAAGUUCUAUUGGUUGUUUCUCAUUGUUCCAGAGCCUUCAUUUGAAUGCUCUGAGGUAUAACUAAGUCUUUCAAGCAUGAACUUGAUUCUAAUGGAGUCAACUGGAAAAGCGUCUCAAAUGAGAUGAAAAAAAAAAUAUUUUGGAGAAUUCAAGAAGGCAUUCUACCGGGGAUCCUUCAAUUGAUAGUGCGGUGCGGAUCCAAUGGGAGCGUAGGGCAGCAAAAAGAUACAGUGAUUUUGUUAGCAAACUAAAAUCAAAUGGGGUGCAACCGGACACUAUUCCAAAUAAUGUGUGGAAAAGUUGGUUGAGAUUUUGGAAAGAUCCUAAGUGUGUUGAAAAGUCAGAAAUAAAUACAAAAAAUCAUUGUGAUGGGAGCGGAGUUGCCACUGGGACUCACACAUGUGGCUCUAUCAAUGUUGGGGGAGCAUCGCAAGAGACUUGAAAAAUAUCAGGAGAUAUUACAACAACAAAACAAACUCAAUCCGAUAUUGAUCAAUGUAAAGCAUAUUUUCAAGCCGCGGGAGGAGAAAAGAAAAGAAGAGUAUAUGAUCUUGGAUCUCAAGCACAAUGCUACUAUGAGCCAGAUCUUCAUGGCUCUUUUGGAUCUGAUGCUACAUCGUCAGCAACACCUCCAAAUGCUCAAUCAACACCGACAGGGAAUCUGGAUGAGUUAGUGAUGCGAUUAAUUCCUGCACUGACAGAUCAUAUAGUUCCUGUAAUCGUUGAGCGGGUACGUGAAUUAGUUUUCUUGCCCUCGCAUCAGCCAAAUACUGAUCUUACCAACCACCCAUUAGAUGUGGCACCUACAGUUCCUACAUCUUCUACUACUGCUAACAUCGAUGAGGUUCAUGCAUUGGAUUCUGAUGAUGAUCGUAACUCUCCAGCCUCGCAUAGCUAGCCUACUUUGUUUGGACUGUAUUGUUGGUCCUUGUGGAUUUUUUGUAC